rnacentral:rRNA from 1 species
UACGUAGGGGGCCAGCGGUUGUCCGGACUUACUGGGCCGUAAAGCGCGCGCAGGCGGUCGUGUAUGUGCCGUGUGAAAGCGCCGGGCGUACUCCCGGCGAGGUCAUGGUAGACAGCACGACUUGAGCCUCGGAGAGGUCGGUGGAAUUCCGGGUGGAGCGGUGAAAUGCGUAGAGAUCCGGAGGAACACCAGGGGCGGAAGGCGGCCGAGCUGGCCGAGUGCUGACGCUGAGGCGCGACGGCGUGGGGAGGCAAACCGG